rnacentral:rRNA from 1 species
GACGAACGCUGGCGGCGUGCUUAACACAUGCAAGUCGAACGGAAAGGCCCUGCUUUUGUGGGGUGCUCGAGUGGCGAACGGGUGAGUAACACGUGAGUAACCUGCCCUUGACUUUGGGAUAACUUCAGGAAACUGGGGCUAAUACCGGAUAGGAGCUCAUGCUGCAUGGUGGGGGUUGGAAAGUUUGGGCGGUUGGGGAUGGACUCGCGGCUUAUCAGCUUGUUGGUGGGGUAGUGGCUUACCAAGGCUUUGACGGGUAGCCGGCCUGAGAGGGUGACCGGCCACAUUGGGACUGAGAUACGGCCCAGACUCCUACGGGAGGCAGCAGUGGGGAAUAUUGCACAAUGGGCGGAAGCCUGAUGCAGCAACGCCGCGUGCGGGAUGACGGCCUUCGAGUUGUAAACCGCUUUCGCCUGUGACGAAGCGUGAGUGACGGUAAUGGGUAAAGAAGCACCGGCUAACUACGUG